AUAUAUUACACAGCAUAUAUGUUUUAUAAUAUAUAAACAUUAAUAUACACAUAAUGUAAACAAGAAUAUAUGUAUAUAAUUGUUCCCUUGAUGAAAUGUUUCUGUUUAAUCUAAAAAGUAGCUUUUCAGGGGAGGAAUAUUUAUCUGCCAUGGCCAAUGCACCAGGUCACUAGCUCUGAAGAGACCUGUUUAAUGACCUGAAGUACAAUGUAAUUGUUAGUAGAAAACUAGAGAGAGCAACAGAAUUUAUCUAACCAUAAAAUCGAACAUAACCCAUUGAUUAUGGGCUGAUGAUGAAGUUAUUAUCUAUUAAGAAAGAAAGAUUCUUUUGGUACUAGAAAUAUGGGUUACAUAACCAAAAAUAGUGAUGUUUUAUUGGCAAAAAUUACAGUAAAAACACAUACAAACAUCUCCUGAUGUCUUAAAUUUGACAUCUCUGAAUUACAGAGGAACCAUUUAUUUAGUUUAAUUUGGAGCUCAUAAUGCUCUUCUAGAUUGUAUUUUACUAUUAGGAAUUCUUUAAUAAUUUUUUAUCAGUGCAUAAUAAUUAGACAUAUUAGUGGGAUUUGUUGUUACAUGUUCACAUAUGUAUACAACAUAAUGUGGUUAGUUUCAUUCCCUGGAAGCAUUCUUUAUCUGUGAUGUCCAACAAAGUAGCCACUAUGUACAUGUAGCUCUUUAAGUUUCUAUUAAACAAAAUUAAAACUUCAGUUGCUGUCAUACACAAACUAGACUGCAAGUGUUCAAUUGCUGCAUGUAGCUGGUGACUACCUUAUUGGACAAAGCAGAAAGAGAAUAUUUCCAAUGUUGCAGAAGUUAGUUCUAUUGGCUAGUGCUGUUGUAGAAUGAGCAGAAAGGGAAAUGGAUUUUAGUUGCUAGCUGACUCAUCCAUGGCGCUGAACUGACCAGAAUCUGCUGUAUACCUCAAAGGGAUGCUUUCAGAGAAGCUGAAGACAGCCAUGGUAUAACUUCUAAGCAUGAUGUGCUUCUCAGAUUUAUCAAAGCUUAAAAAGGUUUGUGUUAAUCUCUCUCUUAGCUAAUUAAGAAAUAAUUGUUUGAAAUGUUUUUAACUUUUGCUUUGAAUUCUGUGGAACUGUAUGUAUGUGUACUAGUUUUCAUAUCAUUUGUCAUGAAAGUUUUAAUUUAUAAUUAA
rnacentral:lncRNA from 1 species